AAUGAACGCUGGCGGCGUGCCUAACACAUGCAAGUCGAGCGCGAAAGUCUCUUCGGAGAUGAGUAAAGCGGCGGACGGGUGAGUAACACGUGAGAACUUGCCUUUUGGGUGGAGAAUACCUUCGAGAAAUUGAGGUUAAUACUGCAUAAGUCCCUCCGGGAGAAGAUGGCUUUAUGCUAUCGCCAGAAGAUAGGCUUGCGGACUAUUAGCUAGUUGGUGGGGAAAGGCCUACCAAGGCAAUGAUGGUUAACCGGCCUGAGAGGGUGAACGGUCACAUUGGAACUGAGACACGGUCCAAACUCCUACGGGAGGCAGCAGUGAGGAAUAUUGCGCAA
rnacentral:rRNA from 1 species